CUCAGGUGCUUUUCUUCUCACGAAUCUCUAAAAAAGAGAAAGAAAUUGAUCAGCCUAUGUGGAAAAAGGUCUGGCAUUUUAAUUUUUUCAGCUUUCCUUUGUUUUCAUUGAUUUUUCCUAUGUCGUUCACUAAUUUUUUCUUUACUUUUUCUAUUUGUAGGAGCCUCAAUCGGGUGGGAGGCUUGGAGUAGUGCAAUAGUUGUUUAAAUCCAUCUC
rnacentral:lncRNA from 1 species